UACGGGGGGAGCAAGCGUUGUUCGGAUUUACUGGGCGUAAAGGGCGCGUAGGCGGCCAGCACAAGUCAGUUGUGAAAUCUCCGGGCUUAACUCGGAAAGGUCAACUGAUACUGUGCGGCUAGAGUGCAGAAGGGGCAACUGGAAUUCUCGGUGUAGCGGUGAAAUGCGUAGAUAUCGAGAGGAACACCUGCGGCGAAGGCGGGUUGCUGGGCCGACACUGACGCUGAUGCGCGAAAGCCAGGGGAGCGAACGGG
rnacentral:rRNA from 1 species